rnacentral:rRNA from 1 species
UACGUAGGGUGCAAGCGUUGUCCGGAAUUAUUGGGCGUAAAGAGCUUGUAGGCGGUUUGUCGCGUCUGCUGUGAAAUUUCGGGGCUCAACCCCGAACUUGCAGUGGGUACGGGCAGACUAGAGUGUGGUAGGGGAGACUGGAAUUCCUGGUGUAGCGGUGAAAUGCGCAGAUAUCAGGAGGAACACCGAUGGCGAAGGCGAGUCUCUGGACAGCAACUGACGCUGAGGCACGAAGGCCAGGGGAGCAAACGGG